UACGAAGGGUGCAAGCGUUAAUCGGAAUUACUGGGCGUAAAGGGUGCGUAGGCGGUUCGUUAAGUCUGUUGUGAAAUCCCCGGGCUCAACCUGGGAAUGGCAAUGGAUACUGGCAGGCUAGAGUGUGUCAGAGGAUGGUGGAAUUCCCGGUGUAGCGGUGAAAUGCGUAGAGAUCGGAAGGAACAUCAGUGGCGAAAGCGGCUUCCUGGUCCAGCACCGACGUUCAGGCACGAAAGCGUGGGGAGCAAACAGG
rnacentral:rRNA from 1 species